rnacentral:lncRNA from 1 species
UUUUUUUUUUUUUCCAGAUACAGCGCUUUCUGAACUGUAGCCAUUUUCAUUUUGAACCAAAAAUGCAGAUGUAAAAUAAAACUAAUAGGUAAUUAAGAAAAAAGGAGGCAGUUUUCAUCUGUCAUGUGAAAAGUCAUUCAUUCCACAAAUACUUGCUGAGGGUUUGCUGUGAUAAAUAUAAUCUAGACAAUAACAAACAACAGAAAGGUUAAAAUAGAUGCUAAAAGUUUAUAAAGUUUGUGCACUUUAAUUAGAUGCCAUUCUCUCCUAUAUUAUAACUAAUCCAAAGAGCUUGAUGAACGAAAAUGCCAAUCCCUGUGCCUCCCCACCGCUGCCCCUGCUAAGAACUGCCUUGGCUCAGCCUGAAGGAUGACAAAGCUUAAGGAGGCAGAGAUGUCCUAUGUAGGACUCGGCUCUUCUGGCUGCAGCUGAUGAGGCCCGAUCAGGGCCACCAAUCCUGUGAGAGGUCAGAACCGUAGGAAAAGCCCCUGCAAUCAGAUUCCUUAUCUCAUGAAUUCAAUCCAGGUCUCUAUCUGGUCUCUGCAGCUAAGCCAAAGCCAAAAGGUAAUGAUGGAAACUGAGGCCAGCAUGGCCAUGUGUGGGCCAGAGUCACAGAGGAGCAAAAACUGAGUGAGCAAAGAAGCCAGCAGUAGAGAAAGGAGAAAAGAACAGAUGCAAAGGCACCUUGAGGAGCAAAGAACGUCUCCAAGUAGAGAGUGCCAGGCUACUCUCUACUCUGACAUUCAGUUACUUCCCACCUGGGUUAACUGAAAUGGACUUUUUUUCCUCUUGAUUUAACAGCCUUACUUGUGAAUGUUUGAACGUCUGAUAUAAAUUACAGCAGGAAAGAAGGCUGUAAAGCCAGGUAAACUGAAGAUAGAAAUGACAGCAAAGGGGUUUCCUUCCCUCUUUGGGGCAGUGGAGGGGGGGUUCCUUCUGUGGUACAGCAGUGGGUUAAGAAUCUGUAGUGGCUUAGGACGCUGUGCAGGUAUGGGUUUGAUCCUCAGCCUGGCAGAGUGGGCUAAAGGAUCCAGUGUUGCCAGAACUGUGGCAUAAGUUGCAGCUGCAGCCCAGGAACUUCUGUAUGCUGUGGGGGUGGCCUUUAAAAAAAUAAUAUAAAAUAAAUAAAUGUCAGGAAGGGGAUAAGACACAUUUAUGAAAGAACACAUAAAAUACAGAAGUCUGGGCAUACAGUGAGGUUCCCUUAUAACCUCUGGUAGUAAAUAAUAGAGUUCAUCAGAAGAGAAUCCUGUGUCCCUUCUUACGGCUUAGCCCACCCUCCUAUCACUGUGGGUGGAGCCCCUGGUCCCUUCUCUACCACUGACAACACCUCCACUUGCCAGACCCACUCUCUCUUGCCACUGAAAGACAGCAUGUCAAUAAUUUUCCCUCUCUCUCUUGCACUGUCAGAUUUUUCCUCUCAGGUGAAUCAUUCCUAUCAGCACAUUAAAGUGCUAUAAGCUCUCCACCAUGGCCUCAUACUCCCAUCCUGUGAACAUGCCACUUCUCCGCUCCUUUCAGAACAAAAUGACUGCUCUGUACUCAAUGUCACCAGUUCUACUCCUCUUCUCCCUUGAACCACUCCCUCAAAUCAAGCUUUUGCCCUCACCUGAAGAUCAAUAGCUACAUCCAUGUUGCAAAAUCUAGCGGUCAAUUCUCAGUCUUGCGUAAUGCAGUACAAAGGACACUGCAUCAUUAUGACACUUUUAUUUCAUAAGGACCUGAAAUAAAAGUGUAAUCUGCGUUUAGUUAAGCUUUUAAAUAUAUGAAUGUAACUUUCAGUUUUCAAUGUUAUAUGUAUAUAACUUUCUAACUUAUCUGUAAAUACACAGAAAUUAUUAGAAUGAGUGCUCCAACACCAUAAAAGGAUGAGGUAUAUCCAGGAGGUGGGGCUACCCCAUCACUUCACACAGUGCUUUUCUUUCUUUUUUUUGGCUACACCUGCAGCACAUGGAAGUUCCUGGGCCUCUACAACAGCUGUGGCAAUGCUAAUUUUUUAACCCACUGGGCCAGGCCAGGGAUCAAACCUGUGCUGCCACAGAGACAAUGCCAGAUCUUUAACCAGCUGCACACAGCAGGAACUCCACAUAGAAUGCUUUUCAUAUUUCCUGCAAUGAUGAAGAUCUAUGCUGUCCAAUUCAGCAGCCAAAAUAUGGUGUGACUGAGGACAUGAAAUUUUAAUAUAUUUUUAAUUUAUUUGUAUGUACAGUGGACUGGUCUGGUUUCUUAAAUGAGCCAAUAUUAUAAAGAAAAAAUAAAGACUAGGUAGUCCUCAAGAAUAAAGGAUUUUAAGUGACAUCACGACCAAAUGUAAAUACAAAAUACUUCUAUAUACUAGCAACAAACAGGUGAAGAAAAAAUUAAAACAAAUUGUUUACCAUUAUGUCGAUAAACAUAAAAUGAUUUUAGACACACUGAUCUCCAUAGUUAAAUUGGGCACAGUUCAUAAUGUACAGACUAUCCCUCAAUAAAGCUGAUUAAAAAACAUUUAGGGAUAAGUUUAACAAAAGGCAAGUAAGGUUUCCAUAUUGAAAAUGACAAAACACUGCUGAGAAAAAUGAAAGACAUAAAUUAAGAGAUGAAAUGUUCAUGGAUGGAACUCAGUAUUGUUAAGAUGUUAAUUCUCAAAAUUAUCAAGAGUCAACACAAUUGUAAUGAAAAUACUGUAGACUUUUUAUUAGAAAUUGACAAGUUAAAAUUUAUUUGGAAAUGCAAAGAACCUAGAGAAGUCAAAGCAGACUUGAAAAUUUGCCUUCAAAAUUUACUUUACAGCUAUAGUAAAUAAAACUAUGUGGUUUUGACAUAUAAACAAGAAAUACAUUUAGAGAAAAGAGCCAAGACUAUAUGGCUGAUUUUCAAUAAAGGGUGCCAAGGUAUUUCCAUUGGAGAAAGGACAGUAUUUUCAAUACAUGGCACUAAAACAAGAACCUAUCAUUUAGAAAAACAAAAUCUCAAUGAUUACCUCCAACUGUACUAAAAAAAGGUAAUUUAAGAUGUAUCAUAAACCUAGACAAAAAAGCUGAUAUAAAGUUUAUUCAUAAGAAAAUAUUUAUUUGACCCUAAGUCAGCAAAGGUUUCAGACACAAAAAGCACUAACCAUAGGGAAAAAAUAAAUUGUAAUUUAUCCAAAUUAAAACCUUGUGCUCUUCCAAAAAUAUCACUAAGAAAGUUUUGGAAAGACAAGUAUAGCCUAGAAGACAUUAUUCAUGAUAAUUUGUCAUAGUGACUUUACCUGACAGAAGACCUGCAUCUGGAAUGAAUUAUCUAUAUCCCUUGCAACUCAACCAUAAAACAUUAAACAAUAAAGGUGAAAGAGCUGAACAGAAAGUUCACAAAGAACAAAAACGAUCAAUAAGCAAAUGAAAAUGUGCUUAGGCUGGCUGCCUCUGAUGCAGAAAGGGCAGGGCAGUGUGAAUGAUUCAAGGAAACUGCAAGAAAUUCAAUAUAGCUGGGGUAGGAAGCUAGAGAGGUGGAAUCUAGAUGGCGGAGGAGUAAGAUGUGGUGCUCACCUUCUCCUACAAACACAUCGAAAGAAACCCAUCCGCAUAUAGAACGAUUCACAUAGAACAUCUACUGAACGCUGGCAGAAGACCUUAAACCACCAAAAAGGCCAGAAACCCUCCAUGUAACUGGGUAGAACAAAAGGGGAAAAAAAAGAGAGAGAAAAAGGAACACACCUAACUGAUGGGGAGACCAGCCAAGACGGAGGGACAUCAAAAACUCAGAGAAAAGCUCAAUAUCUGGACAGAGAAGGGCAAAGAAGUGAGAGAGCCGCACAGACUAUCCGUACCACCUCCCUGGACACCACAGUCUGAGACACUUGGGUUCUGGAGGUCAGUUCUGGGAAGAGGACCGGGGUUGGCUGUGUGGAGACAGCUUGAGGGAAUAAGGAGUGGUGCGCCAAGGGCUAGGGAGUGGAGUGCCACAGCCAAGAGAACAUGGGAGGAGGUCUGGGCCCACAGGAGCAGCAAGGUGCCACUGCUGGGGAAGACGAGAAGGGGUAGAAUGCCAUAGGAAUAUCUUUCCCUGCAUAUACGUGGAUUCUCGGGGGACGGGGGGGUGAUGGCAGCGAGGUGCCUCUUGUGCAGGCUGUGGGUAGCAGCACCUCCUGUGCAGUCUAAGUGUGAUGGGGCACCUCCUGCAUGGUCUACUAGCAGCAGGGCAAACCACUGCAGUCAUCUCAGACUCCAAAGGUGGGCAUCCUCCCUCGGGUAUGAACUAGGGGUCCUCCCCUGGGUAUAAACACGCCCUGCUACUGCCACUGCCAAAUGCUCUGGUCACAUCCUACCCCUGCCUGAGGGUCACUGCCACUUCCCGGUGCCCUGCAACUGGGAGCAGUCUGUGCCACCUUCCCACAGGUCCUUGCCACUGUCAGGGGCCCAGCAACCAAGGACUGGUUAAUAGCCCUGCCCAUUGCCUCCAUCUCCCUGGAAGAACACCCAGAAUCUGACUAGGGGUUCAAUGGCCUGCACACACUGAAGAAAGAGUCAGUAAGCAUCCAAACCAAAAGUAGCCCUCACAUCAAAAAUAAACAGUAAGCCCUCACAAAAUACCCAGAGGGCACCUGCGCAUAUAAACAGCCCUCCAAAACCAUAGCAGUUAUCUUCCCUGAACUCAUGGAACAAUAACAUAAGCAAAAUGAAGAAGCCCAGGAACCAUCUACAGUUAAAACAUCAGGAGAAUUCACCUGAAGGAGCAGACAAUGAAACAGACCUCUGCAGUCCAACAGACACUGAAUUCUAAAAGAAGAUAGUGAAAAUACUGAAGGAAUUAAGAGCAAAUAUGAAGGAAUUAAGAGCAGAUAUGAACAGUAAUGCAGAUUACUUUAGAAAGGAAGUAGAAAAUAUGAGGAGCCAAGAAAAAUUAUAAAAUUCAUUUGCAGAGAUGUAACCUGAGUUAAAGGCACUGAAGAGCAGAAUGAAUAAUGCAGAGGAAUGAAUUAGUGACUUAGAAGAACGAAUAAUGGAAACCGCCCAAUCAGGACAGCAGACAGAAAACCAAAUGAAAAAACAUGAAAGCAAUAUAAGAGAUCUAUGGGAUAAUAUAAAGCAGGCCAAUCUACGCAUACUAGGGAUUCCAGAAGGAGAAGAAAAAUAAAAGAGGAUUGAAAAUAUAUUUGAAGGAGUCCUCGUCAUGGCUCAGCAGUAACAAAUCUGACUAAUAGCCAUGAGGACCAAGGUUCAAUCCCUGGCCUCACUCAGUGGGUUAAGGAUACAGGGUUGCCAUGAGCUGCGGCAUAGGCUGCAGAUGCAGCUCAGAUCUGGUGUUGCUGUGGCUGUGGCACAGGCCAGCAGCUAUAGCUCCAAUUGGACCCCAAGUUUGAGAACUUCCAUAUAUACUGUGGGUGUGGCCCUAAAAAGACAAAAAAAGACAAAAACAAAACAAAAAAAAAAUUUGAAGAAAUUAUGGCUGAAAACUUUCCAAAUCUAAAGGAAACAGUUAUCAAGAUACAGGAAGCACAGAGGGCCCCAAAGAAGUUGAACUGAAACAGGCCCACAUGAAGACAUAUUAUAAUAAAAAUGGCAAAAGUUAUUGAGAGGAUUCUAAAGGCAGCAAGAGAUAAACAAAGAAUUAACUAUAAGGGAAACCCCAUAAGGCUAUCAGUGGGUUUCUCUCUAGAAACACUACAGGCCAGAAGAGAGUGGGAAGAUAUAUUCAAAGUUCUAAAAGGGAAAUAUCUGCAGCCUAGAGUACUCUACCCAGCAAGAAUAUCAUUUAAAAUAGAGAAAUAAAGUAUUUCUCCAACAGAUGAAAACUAAAAGAGCUUAGCAAUAGUAAACUCAUUCUAAAACAAAUACUGAAACAGUUCCUCUAAAUAAACAAGAAGUAAGAAGAAACAAGAUGGAAGAAAUUACAAUUGGAAAGCAAUCACUUAAAUAAGCCAGUAUACAGAUCUAAAAGGAAAAAAAAAAAAAAAAAGAGCAAAAUGACAAACAUGAAGAUGUUGAAAAAGGACUUCAAAAUCAUAAAAUGUGGGACAGAAAGUAAGAAUAUCUGCACUUUUUAAAAAAAUGUGUUUGAGCCUAUAUGUCUAUCAGGCUAAAGCAAGCAGAUAUAGGAAGGGGUAAACAUACUUGAAAAAUAGGGCAACCACAAAUCAAAACCAAACAUUACAUUCAUAAAAACUAAAAAGAUGAUGACAUGAGAAUAAAGGGAAAUCAUCCAACCAAAUAAAGGAACAAAGAGAAACACAGGAUCAACUGGAAAACAAGUUUUAAAAUUGCAAUAAAUAUAUACCUAUCAAUAAUUACCUUAAAUGUCAAUGGACUGAAUGCUCCAAUCUAAAGACAGAGAGUGGCAGACUGGAUUAAAAAACAAGAGUCUACAAUAUGCUAUCUACAUGAGAUUCACCUUAGGGCA